rnacentral:tRNA from 1 species
GUUAACGUAGCACAACACGGUUAUGCAAAAGACCUAAACUCUUUCAAUAUGGGUUCAAAUCCCCUCGUUAACU